rnacentral:rRNA from 1 species
UACGUAGGGAGCAAGCGUUGUCCGGAUUCACUGGGUGUAAAGGGUGCACAGGCGGAUUUGUAAGUCAGAGGUGAAAUCUCACGGCUUAACCGUGAAACUGCCUUUGAUACUGCAGAUCUUGAGUUUGGGAGAGGUUGAUGGAAUUCCAGGUGUAGCGGUGAAAUGCGUAGAUAUCUGGAAGAACACCAGUGGCGAAGGCGGUCAACUGGCCCAUAACUGACGCUCAUGCACGAAAGCGUGGGUAGCGAACAGG